rnacentral:rRNA from 1 species
GACGAACGCUGGCGGCGUGCUUAACACAUGCAAGUCGAACGAUGAAGCUAGAGCUUGCUCUGGUGAAUUAGUGGCGAACGGGUGAGUAACACGUGAGUAACCUGCCCCGAACUCUGGAAUAACUGCUGGAAACGGUAGCUAAUACUGGAUACGACCUACGAAGGCAUCUUCUGUAGGUGGAAAGAAUUUCGGUUGGGGCUGGACUCGCGGCCUAUCAGCUUGUUGGUGAGGUAAUGGCUCACCAAGGCGACGGCGGGUACCAGGCCUGAGAGGGUGACCGGCCACACUGGGACUGGGACACGGCCCAGACUCCUACGGGAGGCAGCAGUGGGGAAUAUUGCACAAUGGGCGCAAGCCUGAUGCAGCAACGCCGCGUGAGGGAUGACGGCCUUCGGGUUGUAAACCUCUUUUAGUAGGGAAGAAGCGAAAGUGACGGUACCUGCAGAAAAAGCACCGGCUAACUACGUGCCAGCAGCCGCGGUAA